rnacentral:rRNA from 1 species
AACGAACGCUGGCGGCGCGUCUUAAGCAUGCAAGUCGGACGGCAAGGGUAGCAAUACCCCUAGAGUGGCGGACUGGUGAGUAACGCGUGGGUGACCUACCCUCGAGAUGGGGAUAGCCAUUAGAAAUAGUGGAUAAUACCGAAUACGCUCUGGAUGCUCUGGCGACCAGAGGAAAUCAGGCUACGGCCUGGCUCGAGGAUGGGCCCGCGUCCCAUUAGCUAGUUGGUGAGGUAACGGCCCACCAAGGCGACGAUGGGUAUCCGGCCUGAGAGGGUGUACGGACACAUUGGGACUGAGAUACGGCCCAAACUCCUACGGGAGGCAGCAGCUAAGAAUAUUCCGCAAUGGACGAAAGUCUGACGGAGCGACGCCGCGUGGAUGAAGAAGGCCGAAAGGUUGUAAAAUCCUUUUGCCGAUGAAGAAUAAGUGGUGUAGGGAAUGACAUCAUGAUGACAUUAGUCGGUGAAUAAGCCCCGGCUAACUACGUGCCAGCAGCCGAC